UCCUGAGGUGGCUAGCCAAGUCUAUUGUGAAAUAUCAGGGCUUAACCCUGAACAUGCGGUGGAAACUAGAAAGCUUGAGUACAGUAGGGGCGGAGGGAAUUUCCGGUGGAGCGGUGAAAUGCAUAGAUAUCGGGAAGAACACCAACGGCGAAAGCACUCCGCUGGGCUGAUACUGACACUGACAGACGAAAGCUAGGGUAGCGAAAG
rnacentral:rRNA from 1 species